GUUGAGAUGUCUGAAUUAUAAGAAAUAAACUGUAAAUUUAUUAAUGGAUUAAAUCCUCUCAAUA
rnacentral:tRNA from 1 species